rnacentral:rRNA from 1 species
GAGUACGUGAAACCGUUCAGGGGUAAACCUAAGAAACCCAAAAGAUCGAACGGGGAGAUUCAUCGUCAGCGACGCUGGCUUCGCGUCGHGCGAUGUCCCGCGGGGCCUCGCGGCUCGCGCGCGGGCACGCUGCCGUGCGUCGAUGUCCGGCGUUCGUCGUCGUGCACUUCUCCCCUAGUAGAACGUCGCGACCCGCUGGGUGUCGGUCUACGGUCCGGGUGCGGUGACUGACGCGUCGCCGGUAAAACGGCACGCGUCAAACCCCCGGUCGCCCGGCCGGCUGGCCGGCGGUACACGCAAGGUAUCAGG